AAGAUCUUCAAUGUUCACGAAGCAGAUACAUACCAGGAUCAUCUUAUAAUAGUUAAGGAGAUAAAAGGGAAAUGAUUCACAUCCUGCCCUCUGAUGUUAUAAGAUAUCCACAAGAAAUGGCACGUUCCAAAGGUAUCAAAGGCAAAAAUUGUGCCCUCACUCACAAAAAGAGUUAAACAAAAAUUCUAAAAUCUAAAAUCUACUAGAACUAGAAGAAAAUAACAUGGAACAUUAAUUUCAAGUUGCUCCCCCAAGUGACAGACUAGAGGUAAUUCUCUAAUUACAGAUUAUUGUGUAAAUUGCCUUUUUUCACUCUUCGGGGAAAGUCUUUUCAGCAAAAGAAAAAAUACAUAUAUACACACAUCUCUCUUGCUGCAUUAUAAAUCUGAAAAGGUGAAAAAAACUGGCAGGGGGCAGAGGUGACAAAAAUCUGACAAACAUCAUAGAGUUAGUGCUUUGCUUUAUUUUAUUUGCCAAAGUAAAACUAAUUUAAGUAAUUUUAUGCCAUCCUCAUCCCCCCAAAUGGAUUUUUAUAAACAAUGUCUGGGCCUGAUUCAUUAAAAAAAAAAAAAAAAAGCUGAAUACAAACAAUUUUAUGUACUUAUUGUGGGUAAAUAAUAGAGAUUUUUAAGAGUAUGACACUAUUCUUGUCCACGUGUGUACUUUAUAACUAAUUGGGUACCAUUUAAGCAGUCUUCUAACAAUAUAACACAAAUGUUUAGAAAUCUGUCUUGUUUUUAACUUUUAGAUUUUUCUUUCUACAUGGCAUAGAAACAUGGUGGACUAUUCUGGAAAUGCAGGAUUACAGGAGCCAAUAUAGUCCCGUAAUUUAGAAAGAGAAGUUAAGAGUGGUCCGAAGAGUUCGAUGCUGUGGUAUUUCAGGGAACACAGUCAUCAAAUGGAAUCAUGGCUUUAAGUCCAUCCCUGCCUUCUCCUUCAAGUGCUUACCGUUCAUUCUUGCUCGGAGCAGUGACAGAGCAUGUAACACACUGCUCCCAUCAUGUGACUCACACAGCCCUACCUGAAACAGCCUACAGAGUGUCAGAUUAUUGCCAUAGGGCAUGUAUGCUGGCCAGAGAAAGACAGAAGAAAGAGGGAAAGUGAGAAAUCAUCUGCCAAUAGCUGAACAAGAGCUCACUGAAACUACACCUGAAGUGUCAGGAAUUACAGCGGUGCCAACGCUUUCCCACUAAUACUCUGGAGUAGACACUGGGGAGCCCACAGGAGGGAUGCAGGAACCUAAGCUCCGUAACACAACUCUGCAGCAGUUGCAAGGGCACGAGGAAAUGCACUGCUUGAUAGAAGAAGAGAAGUAGCCUGCACACCCAAGACUGAGCACCUCGGUUCUUGUAGCUGGAUAACUAAUGGUCUUAAAAUCACAGCCAGAUCUGUGAUUCCAACCUAGUGAAAUAAUCAAUGUAUUAAAGUUUUUGUGAAGUUAUCUAUUAGGACAUCAGAAAUGUCAUGACUUAUUUUUGCAUAGAAAAACA